CAGUCGAACGGAAGUCGUUAUAAAAAGGAUUGAAGAUUUAUCUGAUUGAGACUUUAUAACAAUGGCUUUAGUGGCGGACUGGUGAGUAACGCGUGAGCAACCUGCCUACUAGAGGGGAAUAACAGUGAGAAAUCAUUGCUAAUACCGCAUAUGUCAUGAACAUCACAUGAUGAAAAUGGGAAAAGAGUAAUCUGCUAGUAGAUGGGCUCGCGUCUGAUUAGAUAGUUGGUGGGGUAACGGCCUACCAAGUCAACGAUCAGUAGCCGGACUGAGAGGUUGAACGGCCACAUUGGGACUGAGAUACGGCCCAGACUCCUACGGGAGGCAGCAGUCGGGAAUAUUGCGCAAUGGAGGAAACUCUGACGCAGUGACGCCGCGUAUAGGAAGAAGGUUUUCGGAUUGUAAACUAUUGUCGUUAGGGAAGAUACAAGACAGUACCUAAGGAGGAAGCUCCGGCUAACUACGUGCCAGCAGCCGCGGUAAUACGUAGGGAGCAAGCGUUAUCCGGAUUUAUUGGGUGUAAAGGGUGCGUAGACGGGACAACAAGUUAGUUGUGAAAUCCCUCGGCUUAGCUGAGGAACUGCAACUAAAACUAUUGUUCUUGAGUGUUGGAGAGGAAAGUGGAAUUCCUAGUGUAGCGGUGAAAUGCGUAGAUAUUAGGAGGAACACCGGUGGCGAAGGCGACUUUCUGGACAAUAACUGACGUUGAGGCACGAAAGUGUGGGGAGCAAACAGGAUUAGAUACCCUGGUAGUCCACACCGUAAACGAUGGAUACU
rnacentral:rRNA from 1 species